UAAUGUAGACAGAAAAAGGGAAGCCCCGAGUGAACAGGGCUUCCCAUGUAGAGCCGUUUAAGACGGUGGCAGAUUCUAACGAUAUUUAAUA
rfam:Pediococcus claussenii ATCC BAA-344 plasmid pPECL-8, complete sequence.